AGGUCAUGAAGAUGCUGAUCUCAUUCAGAUGGAGAAACCAGCAAAAGAGAACGUGCCAGAGGAUGUGGACUGAACUCACAGGGAGGAAGACUUGGCCAGCAGCAGCUCCAUGCACACGAGAUGGCAAAAGUCUCGAGGGUGAUCAGUUUCAACCCAGUCAUCAGAAGCAGGAUUACAAUACUUCUGCAGAUACUAAACCACAGGGAACAAUUUGAGAAAGUCAAGGAAGCAACUUUUCAUCAUGGCCCUGCAGUAUUUCAGUAGCCUGGGAACCAGACGAAUCUGCAAGCUCAUGUUUUAUUUGCUCUGGUGGAUGCAUUUGCAUUUGUGAAUUGGUCUGGUGAUGUCAGGCUAAUAUUUCAGAAUAGGGCAGAGAAAUUUGUGGGAUCAAGGUUUGACGGAAAAACAAAGUUCUCUUACCAAUGAUCUGUGGCACUCUUGCCUCCUAAUCAAACUGUAGCAAGAGAAUAGUGUAUUUACUCACCAUCAGUAGCUUUGCCUGCAUAUUACUGUCAUCACAACAUAAUGUAAUGACACUCAGAAGGAGUGUCAUGACCCAGAAUCUCUCCGCUUUGUCACUGCUGGCUACUGCAUCCCACCUGAUGACGCUGAUGGACUUUAGUGACUUGAUAGAUCUCUUUGCACACAAAAGGUCAAUGAAGAAACUCUAAGGGUAAUACCUGUAUUCCAUUACUGUAACUCUGUGCAGUGUGACACAGUUUGGGGAUUGUACAUUUGUUCAUAUAGUCGUAGUGUUUUCUCUUUGGCCUGUGUGCCCAGCUUGUGAUGCUUAUUAUGAACAUAAUUUCUGUUAUACAUUCAUCUCUUCUAUGUGAUACUGUUUUCAUAAUCUGCAGUUUACACCAUCACAUCAUCUUGUUGUAUUCUGGUGCUCAGUGAUUGACUGAGCGCCAGAAUACAACAAGAUGAUGUGACGGUGUAUGACUACUCUUUGACAGCCUGUUAUGUGUGUUGAGAUGCUGAGUGGAGUAGCACUGUUCAAGGUGCUGAAGCAGUGGUGGGCUGCAGUAGAUAUAUCUGUCAUCACAGCUCUCUGCAGCAGUUUUUCAGUAGCCCUCACAUUGGCCAUGGUGUGACUAUUGUACCAUUUGACAAACAAUGCCUUAUGUCUGUGUGUACAGUGGGAGUAGAUGGUGGCAAUUAAGAAGGGCUUAAAUCUGUGGUGUGUGGUGGCAUUACGGGAAAUGUAGGAUCCAAUGUUUUUGGAGCUCAUGGAGCAUGGAUGUAUAUGAGCUUGACUCAUACUAGGGAUUAAAACUCAGGAUAUCGAU